rnacentral:rRNA from 1 species
AACAAACGCUGGCGGCGUGCCUAACACAUGCAAGUCGAGCGCGAAAGGGACCUUCGGGUCCCCUGAGAGCGGCGAACGGGUGAGUAACACGUGGGCAACCUGCCUCAAGGACUGGGAUAACUCCGGGAAACCGGGGCUAAUACCGGGCGGUGUCGUCUGGCGCAAGCCGGCCGACCAAAUGGUAGCUUCGGCCUCCGCCUUGAGAUGGGCCCGCGUCCUAUCAGCUUGUUGGUGAGGUAAUGGCUCACCAAGGCUACGACGGGUAGCUGGUCGGAGAGGAUGAUCAGCCACACUGGGACUGAGAUACGGCCCAGACUCCUACGGGAGGCAGCAGUGGGGAAUUUUGCGCAAUGGGCGAAAGCCUGACGCAGCAACGCCGCGUGAGCGAAGAAGGCCUUCGGGUUGUAAAGCUCUGUCAGGGGGAAGGAAGGCACCUGGGUUAAUAGCCCAAGGGCUGACGGUACCCCCAAAGGAAGCCACGGCUAACUACGUGCCAGCAGCCGCCGUAAUAC